rnacentral:misc_RNA from 1 species
GAUGAAGAACGCAGCGAAAUGCGAUACUUGGUGUGAAUUGCAGAAUCCCGUGAACCAUCGAGUCUUUGAACGCAAGUUGCGCCCGAGGCCUUCUGGCCGAGGGCACGUCUGCCUGGGCGUCACGCCAAAAGACACUCCCAACCCACCCAAGGGGAGGGACGUGGUGUUUGGCUCCCCGUGCCGCAGGGCGCGGUGGGCCGAAGUUGGGGCUGCCGGCGAAUCGUGUCGGGCACAGCACGUGGUGGGCGACUCCCGUUGUUCUCGGUGCAGCGCCCCGGCACGCGGCCGGCGUAUCGGCCCUGAGGACCCAUCGAGCACCGAAGCGCUUCGCCGCUCGGACCGCGACCCCAGGUCAGUCGGGACUACCCGCUGAGUUUAAGCAUAUCAAUAAGCGGAGGA